CCUACGGGAGGCAGCAGUGGGGAAUAUUGGUCAAUGGAGGCAACUCUGACCCAGCAACGCCGCGUGAGUGAUGAAGGUCUUCGGAUUGUAAAACUCUUUAAGUGGGGACGAAGAAAGUGACUGUUCCCACAUAAUAAGCCUCGGCUAACUACGUGCCAGCAGCCGCGGUAUUACGUCGGGGGCAAGCGUUAUCCGGAAUGACGGGGCGUACAGGGUGCGUAGGUGGUUCGGCAAGUUAGUAGCGUAAUUCCGGGGAUCAACCUCGGAAGUACUACUAAAACUGUUGGGCUUGAGUGCAGGAGGGGCAUAUGGAAUGCCUGGUGUAGCGGUGGAAUGCGUAGAUAUUAGGAAGAACACCAGUGGCGAAGGCGAUAUGCUGGACUGUAACUGACACUGAGGCACGAAAGCGUGGGUAGCAAACAGGAUUAGAUACCCCAGUAGUC
rnacentral:rRNA from 1 species